UGAGGGUCACUACGUCAUUUCGCGACUGGCGGGUCGUAUUCUGCUCAAUACGCUCUAACAGACAGUUGGUUUCUCUCUUGUUCCUUUCUACCUCCAACAUAACCUCCGCCAAAGAGGGCUGGUGGGGCAGGUUCUCCUGAGCUCCUUGACCACCCUCUCGCUGCUCAUGGGCGGGAGCAUUGUUGAGCCUGGUGAACACCAUCUUGACAAACAACUCACAGCUUAGACUAAAUCAACAUCAAUACUAUCUAAGUAUUAAGAAAUGCACUGAACAAUAUGGAUUGCGGAAAUGAAGAUCCGAACAACAUGACAACAAGCAAACUGCUAUAUCUACACCAUGGUUCAUACACACCAUAAGAUAGUUCAGGUCAAACUCAAACUAAAGAGAAAACUACUGAAAAGAUGAUACUACUCAUCAGAGGCUUUCCAAGCUUCCUAUACAUUAUUUAUCUAUGUCUCUGGAACUCAUCUCACAACAUAGUCACUUUCCACAAGACACACAUGACUGUGGAAAUAUAACUGAUACAAUACUAUUGUUCCACUCACGAACUCAACAUCCGCAUAGAACAUCUCAUACAAGUUUCCUCCAUGAACUGGGAUCUGAAACUACGGAUCAGGAAACACCCUAGCCAACUAUUCUCUAACAAUACUAUUUUCCACUUACGAACUCAACAUCCACAUAGAACAUCUCAUACAAGUUUCCUCCGUGAACUGGGAUCUGAACCUACGGAUCAUAAAGCUCCAUGUGAAGAGCACGAGCAUCUGGGUCUCUAUUCUCUAACAUCUGGGUGGUAACCUAGAGCAAUGGGUCCUCCAAAGAAGAAUCAAAGUAAACUCCACUAAGAUAACAUUCUUCUCCUGCCUGAGAAGCUGGAAUAUAACAGAACUCUGAAUUCUGCAGCAGUGCAUGUCUUGCUCUCAUGAUGGUCAACAUUGAAUAGGCGACAUCCUGGACCGCCAUGUUAACGGUAACCCCCAAUCCAUAAGACCAAUGUAUUGGCUCCUCAGCUCCAGGGUAAUCUGGAUAUACCCUAACGGUACACAUAUACUGGCUCUAGUUAAAAUCCUGGUACUGCUCCUCCACUGUAUACUCUGGGUACCAGCGGUAACCGGCUACUGACAUCAUCCUGACCAACAUGGUCG
rnacentral:lncRNA from 1 species